GAUGAACGCUGGCGGCGUGCCUAAUACAUGCAAGUCGAGCGAACGGACGAGAAGCUUGCUUCUCUGAUGUUAGCGGCGGACGGGUGAGUAACACGUGUAUAACCUACCUAUAAGACUGGGAUAACUUCGGGAAACCGGAGCUAAUACCGGAUAAUAUUUUGAACCGCAUGGGUCAAAAGUGAAAGACGGUCUUGCUGUCACUUAUAGAUGGAUCCGCGCUGCAUUAGCUAGUUGGUAAGGUAACGGCUUACCAAGGCAACGAUGCAUAGCCGCCCUGAGAGGGUGAUCGGCCACACUGGAACUGAGACACGGUCCAGACUCCUACGGGAGGCAGCAGUAGGGAAUCUUACGCAAUGGGCGAAAGCCUGACGGAGCAACGCCGCGUGAGUGACGAAGGUCUUCGGAUCGUAAAACUCUGUUAUUCGGGAAGAACAUAUGUGUAAGUAACUGUGAACAUCUUGACGGUACCUAAUCAGAAAGCCCCGGCUAACUCCGUG
rnacentral:rRNA from 1 species